AUCGGCCUACGGGGGGCAGCAGCCGCGGUAAUACGGAGGAUGCGAGCGUUAUCCGGAUUUAUUGGGUUUAAAGGGUGCGCAGGCGGUCUGUUAAGUCAGCGGUCAAAGCCCGGGGCUCAACCCCGGCCCGCCGUUGAAACUGGCAGUCUCGAGUUGGAGAGAAGUAUGCGGAAUGCGCGGUGUAGCGGUGAAAUGCAUAGAUAUCGCGCAGAACUCCGAUUGCGAAGGCAGCAUGCCGGCUCCACACUGACGCUGAGGCACGAAAGCGUGGGUAUCGAACAGGAUUAGAAACCCUAGUAGUCCAG
rnacentral:rRNA from 1 species